GCAGCUCUGAUACCACAAAUGUAAUGGCAACGAUACAGAGAAAAUUAGCAUGGCCCCUGCGUAAGGAUGACACGCACAAAUCGAGAAAUGGUCCAAAUUUUU